AUAUGUCCAUUUGUACAUAUGAACUGCAUUUGUACAGUAGUUAAUUCUCUUAAGAUAAGUUGUAAUGCAUGUUUGUCCUUGGGUGUAUCUGGCAUAUUCUGAAUAUUAAGUG